GACUACGGUGGCCUAAUGGUUAGCGCGUUUGACUCCAGAUCGAGUGGUCCCGGGUUCGAGCCCUGGCCUGAGUCA